CCACACUGGGCUCAAGUGGGACAAGGCCUGGCCAGGCUGAAGUGGCACCAACUGGGAAAUGCCCUGCCAUGGCCCAUUCCCAGGGCCUUUCCUCCAGGCUUUGCCCUUGAUCCCUUGCCUUUCCCCCUGCACUGGUAUCCCCAACUUGCCUGGGAGCCGCAAUCCCACAGAGCCCCGCUCAGCCCGGGGGGCAGCCGGGGCUGGAGGGGGUGGGGACACCCGUGUGCCCCCCAGCCCCACAAGGCCAACCCCAACCAAGCCUUUGCUCUCCUCCUGCAGCCCGUUCAGGCCAGCGGUGUCCAAUGUGGGGAGGCAGGCGUGAUCGGCGGUCCGCCAAUCGCGGGACAAGGAGGAGGUGGAUGUGUCGGGG